GAUGAACGCUGGCGGCGUGCUUAACACAUGCAAGUCGAACGGAGAAAGGGUAGCUUGCUAUCUUUUCUUAGUGGCGGACGGGUGAGUAACGCGUGGGUAACCUGCCCUUUGCAGGGGGAUAACAGUGAGAAAUCACUGCUAAUACCGCAUACCAACUUCUUUCGCAUGAAAGAAGUUUGAAAGAUUUAUCGGCAAAGGAUGGACCCGCGUUGGAUUAGCUAGUUGGUGAGAUAACAGCCCACCAAGGCAACGAUCCAUAGCCGGCCUGAGAGGGUGAACGGCCACACUGGGACUGAGACACGGCCCAGACUCCUACGGGAGGCAGCAGUGGGGAAUAUUGCACAAUGGGCGAAAGCCUGAUGCAGCGACGCCGCGUGAAGGAUGAAGGUCUUCGGAUUGUAAACUUCUAUCAGCAGGGAAGAAAGGGCCUAUGGCCUAUGACGGUACCUGACUAAGAAGCCCCGGCUAACUACGUGCCAGCAGCCGCGGUAAACAUA
rnacentral:rRNA from 1 species